rnacentral:tRNA from 1 species
GGCUAGAUAACAUAACCAGGUUAAUGUAUUAGAUUGCAAAUCUUUAAAUAGUGGUUCGAAUCCACUUCUAGCUU